UGUGACUCUAGGAUUCUAAGAUUCUAUGUUUCUGUAAAUAGAAAGAAGCAGCCAACAACUUCCCUCCAGCUAUCUGGACCAAAUUUAUCUGAGAAGCUGUGUGACAGGUGCUGUGAGGGAUACCUAUGCAUAUGGAGGAGUUAAUAUCAUUAAAAGGCCAGCAGAAAUGGAAAUAUUUUCAUGCUGUUGCUUGAGAACUGGCCACAUUUGAAAGGACAUGGCUUUUAGCUCUGCAUUUCUAAAACAAGCACAGGAAACCAUGAGUGCUUUGGUGCCCUGAUCUCACCUUGGAACUGUGGCUUUUCAAGGCAAGCUAAAGGGACAUUACAUCAUGGAAACUCAGCUGUUUGAUGGAGAAGAGGCAUCCUUGUGCAUGAGGGCUUAUGCCAACAAACUGGGAAGCCAGCCAAGGUGACAGACCAGAAAAAUGAGGUAUGCUCCACUCCAGAUGUGUAUUGGUUCAUAGGAUGCCCCCCAAUACCCUGUAAGUUUGGAGAAGAGCAAGGAAACCUCUCCAUUUCAGUCUAAACAGUUCUUAAGUAGUGAGUCAGAG